rnacentral:rRNA from 1 species
CCUACGGGUGGCAGCAGUCGAGAAUCAUUCACAAUGGGGGAAACCCUGAUGGUGCGACGCCGCGUGGGGGAAUGAAGGUCUUCGGAUUGUAAACCCCUGUCAUGUGGGAGCAAAUUAAAAAGAUAGUACCACAAGAGGAAGAGACGGCUAACUCUGUGCCAGCAGCCGCGGUAAUACAGAGGUCUCAAGCGUUGUUCUGAAUCACUGGGCGUAAAGCGUGCGUAGGCUGUUUCGUAAGUCGUGUGUGAAAGGCGCGGGCUCAACCCGCGGACGGCACAUGAUACUGCGAGACUAGAGUAAGGGAGGGGGAACCGGAAUUCUCGGUGUAGCAGUGAAAUGCGUAGAUAUCGAGAGGAACACUCGUGGCGAAGGCGGGUUCCUGGACAUUAACUGACGCUGAGGCACGAAGGCCAGGGGAGCGAAAGGGAUUAGAUACCCCAGUAGUC